GGACGGGUGAGUAACGCGUGAGAAACCUGCCUUUCACAAGGGGAUAGCCUCGGGAAACUGGGAUUAAUACCCUAUGAUACUUUUAAAUCGCAUGAUUUUAAAGUUAAAGCGUAAAGCGGUGAAAGAUGGUCUCGCGUCCCAUUAGUUAGUUGGUGAGGUAAUGGCUCACCAAGACUGCGAUGGGUAGCCGGCCUGAGAGGGUGAACGGCCACACUGGAACUGAGACACGGUCCAGACUCCUACGGGAGGCAGCAGUGGGGAAUAUUGCACAAUGGAGGAAACUCUGAUGCAGCGACGCCGCGUGAACGACGAAGGCCUUCGGGUCGUAAAGUUCUGUCCUUGGGGACGAUAAUGACGGUACCCAAGGAGGAAGCCCCGGCUAACUACGUGCCAGCAGCCGCGGUAAUACGUAGGGGGCGAGCGUUGUCCGGAAUUAUUGGGCGUAAAG
rnacentral:rRNA from 1 species